rnacentral:rRNA from 1 species
GACAGGUGGUGCAUGGUUGUCGUCAGCUCGUGUCGUGAGAUGUUGGGUUAAGUCCCGCAACGAGCGCAACCCUUAAGCUUAGUUGCCAUCAUUAAGUUGGGCACUCUAAGUUGACUGCCGGUGACAAACCGGAGGAAGGUGGGGAUGACGUCAAAUCAUCAUGCCCCUUAUGAUUUGGGCUACACACGUGCUACAAUGGACAAUACAAAGGGCAGCGAAACCGCGAGGUCAAGCAAAUCCCAUAAAGUUGUUCUCAGUUCGGAUUGUAGUCUGCAACUCGACUACAUGAAGCUGGAAUCGCUAGUAAUCGUAGAUCAGCAUGCUACGGUGAAUACGUUCCCGGGUCUUGUACACACCGCCCGUCACACCACGAGAGUUUGUAACACCCGAAGCCGGUGGAGUAACCUUUUAGGA